rnacentral:lncRNA from 1 species
UUUUCCUUCAUUACUACCUGUAAGUGAAUGCUCCGUCUCCAACUCUGUUAAAAUUAUGAAUAAUUUCCAGCCUUCUCAUGUACUGUCGCCUUGAAGGUAUUAAUGAGCUCUGGUCCUGUCCCCUCUGAGUUGAAGCAGUGCCAUUGUUUCUAUUGCAGUCACAUGUCUCACUGUCCAAUUCAGGGUUUGUUGCUCAACAGUGGAAGUUCUCUCUGGGCUGGAAUUCAGAAAGUGAGCUUUCAGGCUGGGAGCAACUAAAAAACAUCAAAUGCAGCUAUUCGCUGCUAUACUUCUGGAAGAGCAAGGGAGAUGAAUGGUUUCACUGGCAGUCUGGCUGCUUUUGGCCAAAAUCCAGAAAGUGCAGAUGCAGUGCUGGCAACAGCAGGCAACCCCUACCCUAGAGGAGGAUGGAGCUGUCGAGAUCUGCAAGCAGAGGAUUUUGGAGGACUGCAGUGAAACAGUAAUGCCUUGGAAUGCCACAGAGCUCUUGGAAACCAGAAGGGUGGCACACGGCUGCCAGAGUGUGUCUUGUGUGGACUAGGAGAAGUCAGCUGAAAUGGCAGGCUGGCUCACACUGAGCUCUUAGCCGCUGUCGCAGUAAGGGAUGGAAGCAGAAGGUGGAAAGCUGGAGAAGCUCCGAUCUCUCACUGGAGAGAGGGGAGGCUGUGAAGGCGCUCGCUGAAUGCCGGCAGAGCGGAGCGAGCCAAAAUGUGGAGCCAGCCCCCAGCAGCACAGCAGCAGGGAGUUCUCAGGAGGAUUCCUGCAGCAGCCUACUGCUUUUAAAAGCUGGUCAAUAAACAUUAGAUAAAAAUGGAUGUUUCUUUGUCA